rnacentral:sRNA from 1 species
AGCGGAACCUGACAGCGGUGCCCAGGGGGCCACCCGGACUGUUUGGAACGGAAGCACAGUGUCCGCCGCUUCCUGGUUGCGGGUCAGCGCCGAGGGCCUGGGCUGGCCGCCGGGAUGUUGCCCUACACAGUGAACUUCAAGGUGUCGGCGCGCACCCUCACGGGGGCCCUCAACGCCCACAACAAGGCGGCGGUGGACUGGUGAGGGCGCCGGGCUUCCAGGGGCUGGCAAGGUUUAAUUGCUUAUGGAUGUCAUUCACUUGUGGUAGUGGUUGAUUCCAUUACUGCCCAAACUCUUCAAGUUUUAGAAAAGCAUAAAGCUGAUGUUGUCAAGGUUAAAUGGGCCAGGGAAAACUAUCACCAUAACAUUGGCUCACCAUAUUGCUUGCGCUUAGCUUCUGCUGAUGUCAAUGGGAAGAUCAUCGUCUGGGAUGUAGCAGCAGGAGUAGCUCAGUGUGAGAUCCAAGAGCAUGCCAAGCCUAUCCAGGAUGUUCAGUGGUUGUGGAAUCAAGAUGCUUCCCGCGAUUUACUGCUUGCUAUUCACCCACCAAAUUACAUUGUGCUCUGGAAUGCCGACACUGGCACCAAACUAUGGAAGAAGAGCUACGCAGACAACAUUCUUUCUUUUUCUUUUGACCCUUUUGAUCCCU